GUCAGUGCUCGCUUAUAUAUAUACUAAAUUGGAAUGAUACAAAGAAGAUUAGCUUGACUCCUGCACAAGGAUGACACGCAAAUUUGGGAAACUCUUUCGAAGUAU